rnacentral:tRNA from 1 species
GGGCCGAUAGUGACAACGGCAACACACUCGCCUUGCAAGCGAGAGAUCUCGGUUCGAGUCCGAGCCGGUCCA